rnacentral:lncRNA from 1 species
GGGUGGGUAUAAAGCCUUAGUAAUAUAGAGGAAAAUUUAGAGAGGAAGAGAAUAAAGACGUACAGAAGCAGUCUGCAGAAAUAGGAUUUAAUUACUGAAUGCUUAAGGUCCGAUUUAUGUCAUAUAUAUACUAAGAUAUGGGAUAGGGACUGCAGGGUAGUAGCCACAUUAGGAUUUAUUGCAGCAGUAGAGUUCAACCCAGGUUUAACUUCUCAAUUCCCAGCUGCAUUCUUCCCGGAAUUUGG